rnacentral:misc_RNA from 1 species
UAUGAAGAACGCAGCGAAAUGCGAUAAGUAAUGUGAAUUGCAGAAUUCAGUGAAUCAUCGAAUCUUUGAACGCACAUUGCGCCCGCCAGUAUUCUGGCGGGCAUGCCUGUCUGAGCGUCAUUUCAACCCUCAUGCCCCUAGGGCGUGGUGUUGGGGAUCGGCCAAAGCCCGCGAGGGACGGCCGGCCCCUAAAUCUAGUGGCGGACCCGUCGUGGCCUCCUCUGCGAAGUAGUGAUAUUCCGCAUCGGAGAGCGACGAGCCCCUGCCGUUAAACCCCCAACUUUCCAAGGUUGACCUCAGAUCAGGUAGGAAUACCCGCUGAACUUAAGCAUAUCAUAAGCGGAGGA